ensembl:lncRNA CFLAR-AS1 CFLAR antisense RNA 1
UUGGAUUUCCUUUGGCAGGGUUCCCUUGUAUGGAAGUUCUCAGGAGAACAACACUCUCAGAGUCCCACUGUCUCAAAGAAUUCUUAAUGGACAGACUCACCCUGAAGUUAUUUGAAGGAUCCUUGAGACUCUUUUGGAUUGCUGCUUGGAGAACAUUCCUGUAACUUGUCCCUGCUCCUUGAACUAUAAAAGCAGAAGGGAGGUACUGAGUUAAAACUUACAAAUUAUUAUCAAAUAAAUCUUCAAUAGUG